rnacentral:sRNA from 1 species
CACCGCCUGGGGAGUACGACCGCAAGGUUAAAACUCAAAUGAAUUGACGGGGACCCGCACAAGUAGUGGAGCAUGUGGUUUAAUUCGAAGAUACGCGCAGAACCUUACCAACACUUGACAUGUUCGUCGCGACUUUAAGAGAUUAAAGUUUUCGGUUCGGCCGGACGAAACACAGGUGCUGCAUGGCUGUCGUCAGCUCGUGUCGUGAGAUGUUGGGUUAAGUCCCGCAACGAGCGCAACCCUCACUUUUAGUUGCCAUCAUUUAGUUGGGCACUCUGAAAGAACUGCCAGUGAUAGCUGGAGGAAGGUGGGGAUGACGUCAAGUCCUCAUGGCCCUUACGUGUUGGGCUACACACGUGCUACAAUGGUAUCUACAACAGGAAGCAAAACUGCGAAGUUAAGCAAAUCCUCAAAGGAUACCUCAGUUCGGAUUGCACUCUGCAACUCGAGUGCAUGAAGCUGGAAUUACUAGUAAUCGUGGAUCAGCGUGCCACGGUGAAUGCGUUCCCGGGUCUUGUACACACCGCCCGUCACACCAUGGGAGUUGGUUCUACCUUAAGGCAAGGUUUUAAACCCUUGACCACGGUAUAGUCAGCGACUGGGGUGAAGUCGUAACAAGGUAGCCGUAGGGGAACCUGCGGCUGGAUUACCUCCUUUCUAAGGAUGAAUGAAAGUAAAAUUUCAUUCUAAAUAAUAUACAGGCAAUGUUGACCGUCCUCAUUUCUCUUCUUAAAGUAGUGUUUCUCUUGCAUGGGGGCCGGUAGCUCAGUUGGUUAGAGCACACCCUUGAUAAGGGUGGGGUCGAAAGUUCGAGUCUUUCUCGGCCCACCAAUUAAAGAUCAUGGGGGAUUAGCUCAGCUGGGAGAGCGCCUGAUUUGCAUUCAGGAGGUCAGCGGUUCGAUCCCGCUAUCCUCCACCAAAACACUUAGUUAUAAAAAAUUGUGAAUAAUUAAUAAUUAAUAUCAAUAUCUAUAUCCGAACAUUAGUAAUGUUAUUAGCUAAUGUUCAAAAUAAAAAUUUGAUUCAGCACAGAAUUUUUUUCUG